rnacentral:rRNA from 1 species
GACGUAGGGGGCGAGCGUUGUCCGGAUUCAUUGGGCGUAAAGCGCGCGCAGGCGGCCCGGUAAGUCGGAUGUGAAAUCCCACGGCUCAACCGUGGAACUGCAUUCGAUACUGUCGGGCUAGAGGCAGGUAGGGGAGAUCGGAAUUCCUGGUGUAGCGGUGAAAUGCGCAGAUAUCAGGAGGAACACCGGUGGCGAAGGCGGGUCUCUGGGCCGAUCACUGACGCUGAGGAGCGAAAGCGUGGGGAGCGAACAGG